CAUAUUUUUAAUCUCAUUCGCGGCAAAAGAAUAGAGCUUAGGCUCAAGCAACCCAUCUUUAGGCCUAAUAUUGGACCUAGCCCACAAUUGCCAAGCCCAUAAUUCCUAGGCCCAUACCCCUUAACCUAAACCCCUACCACUAACCUAGACCUAUAUAUAUUAAACAAAGCCUAAAACUAAAGGGGGGAUCAGCACAAAUAGAGAGGGAGGAGAACGACAAAAAGAAACAGCAAAAGCUGCGCAUAAAGGAAAAAGAAAGCUAAGAAAAGCUGCGCGCAGAACGACCCACCCCUCGGAUCGUCUCCUUCACAUCCCCCCACCCAAACGACUACUGAACUUCAGCCCUCACCUUAACCAACACCUUCCUCAACAAAAAAUCAAAAAAAAGAGUGUCGAAGACCCCCUAUCGAAUCCUAAGCAGCGACACCCACGAGCAGCUACUGUUGUUGUUGCAUGUUGUCGCAGUUCCGGCGAGCUAGAGGCCUAGACGUAAUUCUGUUUCCGGUCAGAGGUCCGUCGAGGUCCGGUGCGUCGAGGUUCGUCCAUGGUUCAUCGCAUUUUUGAGUUCAGCGCUACCUCGCCAUUAAUAUUCUGAUUCACUUUUGAGGUUUUGUUGAAUGCUUAAAGAGAGACAUCGAAAUGAAGAAGUUUUGUGAUGAUCCAUCUCAAGAGACCAACAUCAUCAUUGUUACACAUGGACUGAGCAGUCGUAUUUUCCUAAUGAAAUGGUUCGAGUGGACUAUUGAGCAGUUUGAGGAUCUUAACAGGAUGAGAACUUGUGAAUUUCAAGUGCUGCAAUUAGGGCAGGGAGGAGAACACAGCCUAGCAUUUCAUCACGAUGAUAAGAAACUUAAGGAAUGGGGAUUAUCCCUUGACAUGAUCGAUGAUCAGAAACAUAGAGCUUUUGCCCCUAUUGUUAAUUCUCUGGAACGUUGUGAUUUAUAUCCUUACAUGGAUUGCUUUGCAGAAGAUUCAGAUGAAGUGAAUGCUUCUAUUAUGUAA